GUUGAACGCUGGCGGCGUGCCUAAUACAUGCAAGUCGAGCGAAUGGACGAGACUUUCGCCUCUCUGCUGCUAGCGACGGAUGGGUGAGUCAUACGUAGCUACCUUACAUAUAAGAAUGGCAUAACUUCGGGAAACCGGAUCUCACAUAGGAUCAUAUUUUGAACCGCAUGGUUCUUCAGUCCACGCCGUUUUUGCUGAGCCUAAUUCAUGGUACCUCGUUGCAUUAGCUAGUUGGUAAGGUAACGGCUUACCAAGGCAACGAUGAGUAGCCGACCUGAGAGGAUGAUCAGCCACACUGGAACUGAGACACGGUCCAGACUCCUACGGGAGGCAGCAGUAGGGAAUAUUCCACAAUGGGCGAAAGCCUGACGGAGCAACGCCGCGUGAGUGAUGAAGGUCUUCGGAUCGUAAAGCUCUGUUAGUAGGGAAGAAGAUAUGUAAAAGUAACUGUGCACGUCUUGACGUUACCUAAACAGAAAGCCACGGCUAACUACGUG
rnacentral:rRNA from 1 species